UGUGAAUCUGGCUAUGACCUCCGUCACCUCACUGAUCACCAGGAUUGAUUCCAAGGACCUCGCUGGUUAUGUGAGUGUCCCCUUCCUCCUUCACUACUUUAAGUAUGUCCUUCUUGAAGCUGCAUAUUCGACCACUUGGCCAAAGAAGACUAUGUCUGCUAUGGUUUCUU
rnacentral:snRNA from 1 species